AGGGAUUUAGCUCAGCGGCAUAAGCGCCUGCCUUGCAAGCAGGCAGUCCUGAGUUCGAUCCCUGGUACCCAUA
rnacentral:tRNA from 1 species